rnacentral:rRNA from 1 species
CAAUUCGCAGCGCAUACCUCGGGAACCGAGGCUAACUCCAGAUAGGUGUGGAGCCCUGGAAUGGCUCCACGCCCAAAAACUAGCGCGCCCAUGUCGCGCGCUGGUGCCCAAGGAUGGGACUGCGGCCGAUCAGGCAGUUGGUGAGGUAACGGCUCACCAAACCUUUGACCGGUACGGGCCGUGAGAGCGGUAGCCCGGAGGUGGGCACUGAGACAAAGGCCCAGGCCCUACGGGGCGCAGCAGGCGCGAAAACUUCACAAUGCACGCAAGUGCGAUGGGGUUACCUCGAGUGCCGUCUGAAGAAGGCGGCUUUUCCACAGUGUAAUGAUCUGUGGGAAUAAGAGGGGGGCAAGACUGGUGUCAGCCGCCGCGGUAACACCAGCCCCUCGAGUGGUGGGGACGUUUAUUUGGCCUAAAGCGUCCGUAGCCGGCUCGUCAAGUCCCCCGUUAAAUCCGGCGUCCCAAGCGCUGGACUGCGGGGGAUACUGUCGAGCUAGAGGGUGGGAGAGGUCAGCGGUAUUCCCGGGGUAGGGGCGAAAUCCUUUGAUCCCGGGAGGACCACCAGUGGCGAAGGCUGCUGGCUAGAACACGCCUGACGGUGAGGGACGAAAGCUGGGGGAGCGAAUCGGAUUAGAUACCCGGGUAGUCCCAGCCGUAAACGAUGCAGGCUAGGUGUUGGGGUGGCCAUGCGCCACCCCAGUGCCGCAGGGAAGCCCUUAAGCCUGCCGCCUGGGGAGUACGGCCGCAAGGCUGAAACUUAA